rnacentral:rRNA from 1 species
UACAGAGGGUGCAAGCGUUGUUCGGAAUUACUGGGCGUAAAGCGCGCGCAGGCGGGAUCGCGCGUUGGGGUGUGAAAUCUGGCCGCUUAACGGCCAGGCGCCAUCCCGAUACCGGCGGAGGCUGGAGCGAUGCAGGAGGUCGGUGGAAUUGCCGGUGUAGUGGUGAAAUGCGUAGAGAUCGGCAGGAACACCCAGGGGAAACCAGCCGACGGGCAU